CCAGGGGGAAAUUUGUUGUCACAGCUUUGCACAGUUGGUACACAGGUAUACUUAUAUGAUAACAUGGGAAGAAACAUGUAAAAAAACAGGAAACACAUAGACAAUGAAAGAGGCCAGUCAGAGUGGACACUUAUCAAUAACUGAUGGAGCAAAGCUCUUUUUAAAGCGAGCCCUCUUCCAGGUCAGAGUUCUGUAUCUCCGACCUGAUGGCAGAACAGAAAGGAGUAGAUUGAGUGGGUGAGAGGGGUCCUGGUCUCUGCACUGCAGCUUGCGGAUACUGCGAGUAAUCCUCUUGAACUCCCGCCGUCCCUUCUGCCAUCGCUUGAGAGACGUGAUGACCAGCUCUCCGUCCAUCUUCUGGCCCAUGACCAGUGGCUGGUGCAAAGGUCUCCAUGCCUGCAGGCGGAAUGCACAAGUCAUUAUCGAGUGGGAAUCGGUUGCAGUCCAGCAUACUCGGCCACGGGAACCCAAACGCGGACAUCACGGGCUCGCAUCCGUUCUUGACGCUCUCGCACAGAGAUCUGCACGGCUGGAUGGGCUCGUCCAAGUCAUCCAGACACACGGGAGCGAAAAGCGAGCAGAGGAACUUUCUCGUGUCGGGGUUGCACUGCCUCCGUACCAGCGGGAUCCAGGACGAAGCUUGCUGCAGAACUUCGUUCAUGGUUUCGUGUCCGAGCAGGUUUGGGAGACGCAUCUCCGUGUACUCGAUAUCGUGGCACAGGAGGAAAUUUGCAGGGAUUGGCUUGCAGUUGUUCUUUUUGGGGAAGAAUUCAUGCUGGCCAAAGUUGUAUAAUCCGUGGAUAGCUUCCAUGCAUGGGAAUGUUAUUACCAACAAAACGGUCACUGUAGAGACAAAAGCUCUCAUUUUGUUUGCGCGUAAAACCUGAAUGGUACAAAUGUGAAAUCAGGAGCUGCUCAGCAUCAGUCAGUGUGGAGGGAGUCUCUGUCAGUGGACAGCUCUUACUGUAACAACAGGUUUUCUUCCAGGCUUGUCUGGGAGGAGUCUGAAUGUUGUGCAUAAAGACUCCCCUUGAACACUUGGUUUUCUAGUUUCCAUAGGUCAAAAAAAGCCACAUUUGUAUUUAUUGCUCCUUGGGUCUUUUAGACAUGUUUGAUUUUAUGUUAUAACUCAAGAGUUUUUAUUUAUCACUAUAACUGUUUUCCCCUCCUUAAUUCAUCUCCCACCCUUCAUGGAAAUAAUAACAAAACGUGUCAGACACUUUUCCUCAUUACGCUCAAAUCAACAGAAAUAUGACCUGUGUGAUCCUUCACCUUGCUGUGUUUUUUUUUUUUUUUUUUUUUGCCUGUGCUGUAAAAUAGUUUGGAAAUGUUGUCAGAAAGGGUAUUUAGCUCGGUUCAGUGAAGCGUUAAUUUCCCAUCAUUAGUAGUUUAGCAGGGACAUUCUCCGGGCAGGGCUGGCUCAUGCCACAUGAUGAAAUAUUGUUUGCCCCACUUUGAGAGGCAGAGCAGCACUCAGCACACCCAUGGGGGGAAACCCAAUCUGCCUCCUCCUGCUCUACAGGCCCCCCUUCAGCUUCAUUCUGCUCUGCAGACAGCAGUGUGGUUCUUCUCAGCACUGACCUCCCUCUUGCUGAAAUGAGCAAACAUUUAAAUCUUGUUUGUGGAAUAUUUUAGUGAGAAUUUUUAGCCCACCUAAAUUACAGAAACAUAUUUCCACUCAUAUUUUUAGUUUUCCAGAUUUAGAGAAGUCUGUCACCAAGAUUCCUGCUGCAUAUAUAGAAGACCCAAGUGCCAUAUAUCCAUUAAUUUUUUCCAUUUGUGCAUGAUAACAAGUCAUUUCCAAUUAUUUUCUAGAGCACUGAAUCUCAUCAGGUCAUCACUCAGGCCUUAAAGACAGAUCGAGACUAACUGUGCCAGAUUAUUUCUUUUGCAGUCUGUAAACUGUGUCACACUACUAGCCUUACCUUGAAGAACUUUGAACGUGAUUUUUUGUUCUUGUGUCAUGGACUGACCUGUUUUCUCUUUUUGUGUGCAGCCUGCCUGUGAGCCUCACCUCCUUGCUUUGGAUUUUUAUUUGGCCUUGCUGCUUUUUGAGUUUUCCUGCGCCAGCCCGUCCUCUGUUGCCACUAACUGCCUUAAGCCUUUUAUUUUGCUACAAGCUACAUUAAAACGUUUUAAAGACUGA